rnacentral:rRNA from 1 species
CCUACGGGUGGCAGCAGUGAGGAAUAUUGGUCAAUGGCCGGAAGGCUGAACCAGCCAAGCCGCGUGAAGGACGAAGGUGCCAAGCAUUGUAAACUUCUUUUGUCAAGGGACAAAAUCAGGCUCGAGAGCCUGACCGAGGGUACUUGAAGAAAAAGCAUCGGCUAACUCCGGGCCAGCAGCCGCGGUAAUACGGGGGAUGCGAGCGUUAUCCGGAUUUAUUGGGUUUAAAGGGUGCGUGGGCGGGCUGUUAAGUCAGCGUGAAAAGCCCGGGGCUCAACCCCGGCGAGCCGUUGAAACUGGCUGGCUUGAGAUGUCGAGAGGUAGGCGGAAUGCGCAGUGUAGCGGUGAAAUGCUUAGAUAUGGGGCAGAACACCGAUGGCGAAGGCAGCAUCCCGGCGGCGGUCUGACGCUGAGGCACGAAAGCGUGGGUAUCGAACAGGAUUAGAUACCCCGGUAGUC